rnacentral:rRNA from 1 species
GACGAACGCUGGCGGCGUGCUUAACACAUGCAAGUCGGACGGAAAGGCCCUGCUUUUGUGGGGUGCUCGAGUGGCGAACGGGUGAGUAACACGUGAGUAACCUGCCCUUGACUUUGGGAUAACUUCAGGAAACUGGGGCUAAUACCGGAUAGGAGCUCCUGCGGCAUGGUGGGGGUUGGAAGGUUUCGGCGGUUGGGGAUGGACUCGCGGCUUAUCAGCUUGUUGGUGGGGUAGUGGCUUACCAAGGCUUUGACGGGUAGCCGGCCUGAGAGGGUGACCGGCCACAUUGGGACUGAGAUACGGCCCAGACUCCUACGGGAGGCAGCAGUGGGGAAUAUUGCACAAUGGGCGGAAGCCUGAUGCAGCAACGCCGCGUGCGGGAUGACGGCCUUCGGGUUGUAAACCGCUUUCGCCUGUGACGAAGCGUGAGUGACGGUAAUGGGUAAAGAAGCACCGGCUAACUACGUG